rnacentral:lncRNA from 1 species
ACAACUAAACAUCCUUUUAUUCACCCAAUCCAAAAGUUCCUUAUGAACCGACCGUCCCUAACGCAAGUGACAAAAGGACUUAGUGGUUGGUACCCGAGGUCCCAAAUAGUUAUUUCAUAUUUUCAGCUAAAUUUAUUUUUUAAAAAAUAUAAACAAAACGAAUAGUAUACUAUUUUUCUCUCAAAAAAGAAAAGUUUCUUAUGUGUAUGUCAAUAUAACAAUAGUCAAUCCAUGAUGUUUCUUUCCCAUAAACACUUUAUUA